AGUGAACGCUGGCGGUAGGCCUAACACAUGCAAGUCGAACGGCAGCACAGUAAGAGCUUGCUCUUACGGGUGGCGAGUGGCGGACGGGUGAGGAAUACAUCGGUAUCUACUUUUUCGUGGGGGAUAACGUAGGGAAACUUACGCUAAUACCGCAUACGACCUACGGGUGAAAGCAGGGGAUCUUCGGACCUUGCGCGAUUGAAUGAGCCGAUGUCGGAUUAGCUAGUUGGCGGGGUAAAGGCCCACCAAGGCGACGAUCCGUAGCUGGUCUGAGAGGAUGAUCAGCCACACUGGAACUGAGACACGGUCCAGACUCCUACGGGAGGCAGCAGUGGGGAAUAUUGGACAAUGGGCGCAAGCCUGAUCCAGCCAUACCGCGUGGGUGAAGAAGGCCUUCGGGUUGUAAAGCCCUUUUGUUGGGAAAGAAAAGCAGCAGGUUAAUACCCCGCUGUUCUGACGGUACCCAAAGAAUAAGCACCGGCUAACUUCGCG
rnacentral:rRNA from 1 species